AUUUUGUCGACCUGAAGAUGUGACGAUUUGCAGCGCAUCACCUCUGUGGCUCAUUUCAUCAUGAGCCCAGUGGGGACUUUCAUCUGAGUGCACACAGACCCGUGGGGACUCGCGUCACCGCGGGGACCAACAAUGAGCUCGAACCGAUGUGACCCUCCUCCACCCCGGUCUCCUCCAAUCGGCGUUAUGACAACUCUUCUUCUGCACCACCACCAGUGUCUGGACUCCAUGGGGGGAUUCUGCCUUCCCAGAUAUCAUUGUCUCUACCCCUGGCUUCUCCUAAUUCAGGAUGGAGUCCAAUCGCCAAAAAGACUUUGCACUAUUUCAAUAUGCAAUUGUAAAUAAAUUAUUGUUAAACUCUAAA